UUCCUGGUGGUCUAGUGGGUAAGACUCUGCGCUCCUAACGCAGGGGGCCCAGAUUCGAUCCCUGGUUGGGGAA